rnacentral:rRNA from 1 species
UACGUAGGGGGCUAGCGUUGUCCGGAAUCAUUGGGCGUAAAGAGCGUGUAGGCGGCCCGGUAAGUCCGCUGUAAAAGUCAAAGGCUUAACCUUUGAAUGUCAGUGGAUACUGCCGGGCUAGAGUCCGGAAGAGGCGAGUGGAACUCCUGGUGUAGCGGUGGAAUGCGCAGAUAUCAGGAAGAACACCAACGGCGAAGGCAGCUCGCUAGGACGGUACUGACGCUGAGGAGCGAAAGCGUGGGGAGCGAACAGG